rnacentral:tRNA from 1 species
GCGGAAGUAGUUCAACGGUAGAGCACCGGCUUCCCAAGCCGGGUGUUGCGGGUUCGAAUCCCGUUUUCCGCUCCA